rnacentral:rRNA from 3 species
CUCCGUGCUUCAAGGCUUGCGGACCCACCUGAUCCCAUCCCGAACUCAGAAGUGAAACGCAAGACCGCCGAUGAUACUACUGUGCACACAGUGGGGAAAGUAGGCAGUGCGGGGU